rnacentral:lncRNA from 1 species
ACACACACACAGAGUGAAAAAGGCGAGCCACCAAAACCCAUCUCCAGUCUCCUCCCGGGGGCCCCCAGCCCGCCUCUGUGCCACUUUGCAUCCCACGCCGGAGGAGGCAUUAACGAGACCGGGUAAGGUGCUGUGCUGGCCAUUGGUGACCCAAAGAUGAUGAAAAAUAUGUUCCUGCCCACAAGGAGUUAGCGACCUACUGGGCUUUCCUCUUGCUGAUGACAUGAUUCCUGUUUGAAUCUGUUGACAAGAUUCUGAAAGCUGAACAGAGAAUUCUGGCACUGCACUGGGUAGGAAAAAGCAUUUCAAGAAAUAGAUAAUAUCAAGGACAUCAGGACACCGGGAGUGGGAGAGAUUGGACUGGGAGACUCAGCAGUGAGGACGAUGUGUUACUUGUUAUGGAGUGACUCCAUUUGCCCAUGCAAAUAAGCACAAAGCCAGGAUAUUAUCAGGCAAUGGCAAAAUUAAGAGGGGGAAAACACGAUGCAGAAAAGAGGGUCUAUACCACUCAGGGUGGCAGAGAUUGAUGUUUGAAACUUCGUUGUGACAAAGAGGGAGCUGUGAACUUUCCUUUCUGAUUUUUAAUUUGAGGUAUGACAUUGACUUCUUUUUUGCCAUGUCCUAUAGACUGUUGACCGGUAGCUUAUUAUUACAGACUUCUAUCAGUUAUAAGGACUGUGAGGGACCCCUGCCAUAUUGUAUCCCUCUUUGAUAAUCAGGGCAUGAGUCACUGGCAUGAAUCAGUAGGUCCCUCUUCCUUGAAGGAGUUUUUGGAAGUAGAAGCAGCAGCAUUCCUGACUGAUGGGCCUGCUUGGCCUAAGUCUAAAU